rnacentral:misc_RNA from 1 species
AAGUCGUAACAAGGUUUCCGUAGGUGAACCUGCGGAAGGAUCAUUAAUACAUGUUGAGUUGCUUAAAUGCAAUUCUUUGUAUACUAUUUACCCCCCACCAACCCAGAGGUGCAUUGUGGCCUUUAAUUAGGUUAGCAGUGUAUCAGUACGUAUGACAAAGGCAACUUUGGCUUACAUUACAUAUAAGUUACCCCCCAUUUACACUUAAGAAGUUUUAAGAAUGAUACCUAUAACUAUAUAA